CAAGAUUCUUUAGAUUCCUAUCAUUCUAAAACAGAAUCUGCAUUGUCUACAGAAGGUAGUGUGGGAGGCCUGCAUUAAAUGACAGCAAUCCAUGCCCCCCCCCCCCGCCCCUGCCCCGGGAACCACCAACAGUCCUCUCUCUUUCCUUCAGUGGCAACGGGAGUGUCAUCAUAGCCUCUAUGAGAUGAUGCCUCACGUAAAAUGCUCAUAGACAGGUUUUUUCCUGCUGCACCCUCCGGGGGUUGGGAGCAUUAUCAUUGCUCAGGAAUAUUUACCCAGGUCAUAAAUAUGGAGACCUGCUAUGCUCAAAGAUGCCCAAUUGUGGACAUCAAUCUGUGGAGAGGUAAAACUGAGGAUGAGAAGGAUCAACAAAGUUCUGUACAACCCGUUUAUGCAGUCACACAACAUUUGUUCACCCUUCUACAUACCCUUCUGGGUUUCAUGCUAAAGAAGAUUCAAGGAACUUGAAGUAACUAGUUCAUCUCAGAUUCCCUUUUCGUCUCUUUGUGUCAUCAUCCUUCUUCUGCAGACCCCACUACUUCUGUCUCAGCCUUUCAUAUUUGAAGGGGGCCUCUGGGCAAAGAACCGCAUCUCAUCUGCAGAAUGAGGAGGGCUAAAGCGCCUCCCAGCCCUCCUGGAUCGCAUAGCAGUUCAGCUGAAUUUUCUUUGCCAGCGAAUUGUCUUGUUUACUUUCCUCACCCCCUGGGAACCCACUGGCCUCAGGAUCUCUUCAAUCAAUACUUUAAAUGGCCCCUUUCCUGAAAGACGAACAAUGAGAUUUUAACUCUAUGUCUCGCUGUCCUUCGUUCUCUCCUUCCUUUUUCCUACCAGCUUUCAUUUCUGUAAGUCCAACAAAUGAUGAGUUUAUGAGUUUCUAAUAUUAGCCCUUAGGCUGCCUGACCUAUUAACCCUUUCACAGCUGGCUUCCCUCUGCACCUGCUAGACCAUUAUAGUUCUAAACUCCAUGGAAACCAAAAGAUUCUUAAAGCAAGCUUAGUAAAGGCCAGUUUCCAUUCUCCUAGAAAUGCAAGUUCAUGGCGGGUGAUGUGUCUAAUGGGGUUAGCUGGGCCUAGUUAAAUUCUCUACUGGACCUCUCAGGUAUAACCACAUGACUUCCCAGUUACUAAAUAUUUCCAUGUACGUCAUCAUGCACAUAUAGUUCCAGAUGCAAAGUUAAAGUUAUGACCAGACAAACACAGAAACACCUGCGCAUAGUUUUCUAAAGCACCUUCAAGAUGACAGGUAUUGUGUAUGCUCAUCUGCCGCUAUUAUUAGAAGCACUUCAUACUGACUAAGCUGGUAUUGAGGAUGAAGUGGAUUAAGACUUACAGAGCCGAAUGGUAAACACAUGACACAGGGCUUUGGGGGCAGGCUCCAUGGUGUGCAGUUUUGUUCAGCACCAUACCUCAAAUGCUCAGUAGCGAAGCCUGCAUUCAGGGCACUUUCUAAGCAGCAGAGAGGCAAUUCA
rnacentral:lncRNA from 1 species